rnacentral:lncRNA from 10 species
GGAUCUUGCUCUGUCACCCAGGCUGGAGUGCAGUGUGAGAUCAGGGGUCACUGCAGCCUCGACCUGGGAUCAAGCAAUUCUUCACACCUCAGCCUCCCGAGGAGCUGGUACUAUAGAUGUGCCACCACACCUGGCUAAUUUUCUUUAUUUUAGUAGAGAUGAGGUCUCAAACUCCUGGCCUCAAGAGACCCUCCCACCUAAGCCUCUCAGAGUGCUGGGAUUACAGGUGUGAGCCACUGCACCUGGCCAACUUCUCCCUUCUCUUGAAUCCUUGCUGCCUCACGACAGGUGUCAGAGCGGCACCACCACACCGCAAAGUGAAGAGAUGAUGCCGUGCCUGGGAGGGUGGCUGGAGAGUCCCCCAUCACUGCUAGUAUGGGAACGGUGAUGGUAUGCAGAGAGGAGGUGUGGUUAGAAGGUCAGACAUGCUGUUGUGAGAGAGACGAAAGGGUUACACUGCGGUUCUCACUGCCUGCCUGAAGUGACAGCCGAAGGCUGAGCAGACCUCCGGGAAGUGGUCAUGAGGAUCUGGCUCGAUCUGCUGAAAAUAUAAUCUAGGCCAUCAGAAAAGAGGAGGGAAGAGCUGGAGCUGUGAAGAAAGAUGAGAUCACUGAGAGCUGCUGAGUCCCAAAGAAUCAAAACGAAGCCCUGCUCUGAGGCUUGUGGGUGAGCCUGGUGACCUUCCUUUCUUUUGAACUGUCUUCAUGUCUUCUCAUUUUUACGUAGUUGUGGCUACUCUUUGGGGAAAGUGUGGCUGCUUUUCUCUGUCUGCACAGAAGCAAUGCAAGGUUAUAGACUCCGGAACAUGAGAGCCAGAAGGAGCCACGAGAAGGGUAGGGGAAACGUCUGUUUUACAGAGGAGGACCCAAAUCUUAGGCAGCUUGCUGAGGCCACAGAGCUCACAGGGGAAUUUAGUUUGUUGACUUCCAGCUUGGAAUUCUUUGUCACACAAGUGUUGGGGCUCAUAAAAUAAUGCCCAAAAUGUGGCACUUGACGAGCUGAACUAAAGCAGCAGCUUCAAGGUUUCUCUCUGGCUUUCCCCCGCCAUCGUGUGUCUGUGACCCU